UAGGGAAUCUUCCGCAAUGGACGAAAGUCUGACGGAGCAACGCCGCGUGAGUGAAGAAGGAUUUCGGUUCGUAAAACUCUGUUGUUAGGGAAGAAAAAAUGUAUAGUAACUAUAUACAAAAGAGACGGUACCUAACCAGAAAGCCACGGCUAACUACGUGCCAGCAGCCGCGGUAAUACGUAGGUGGCAAGCGUUGUCCGGAAUUAUUGGGCGUAAAGCGCGCGCAGGUGGUUUAGAAAGUCUGAUGUGAAAGCCCACGGCUCAACCGUGGAGGGUCAUUGGAAACUAAUAAACUUGAGUGCAGGAGAGAAAAGUGGAAUUCCUAGUGUAGCGGUGAAAUGCGUAGAGAUUAGGAGGAACACCGGUGGCGAAAGCGACUUACUGGGCUCAUUCUGACGCUGAGGAACGAAAGCGUGGGUAGCAAACAGG
rnacentral:rRNA from 1 species